rnacentral:tRNA from 1 species
GGUGGCACAGUGGUUAAGCAUUUGACUACUAAUCAAAAAGUUUGGCAGUUCAAAUCUGCCAACCA